rnacentral:rRNA from 1 species
GACGAACGCUGGCGGCGUGCUUAACACAUGCAAGUCGAACGAGUGGCGAACGGGUGAGUAAUACGUGGGUAACCUGCCCUCUUUUGGGGGUAAGCCUUGGAAACGGGGUCUAAUACCGAAUAAGGUGGAUGGGCUCGCGGCCUAUCAGCUGGUUGGUGGGGUGAUGGACUACCAAGGCGGUGACGGGUAGCCGGCCUGAGAGGGUGACCAGCCACAUUGGGACUGAGACACGGCCCAGACUCCUACGGGAGGCAGCAGUGGGGAAUUUUGGACAAUGGGCGCAAGCCUGAUGCAGCCAUGCCGCGUGUGUGAAGAAGGCCUUCGGGUUGUAAAGGACUUUUGUUAGGGAAGCGGUACCUAAAGAAUAAGCACCGGCUAACUACGUGCCAGCAGCCGCGGUAAUUC